GAUGAACGCUGGCGGCGUGCCUAAUACAUGCAAGUCGAGCGAACGGACGAGAAGCUUGCUUCUCUGAUGUUAGCGGCGGACGGGUGAGUAAUACGUGGAUAACCUACCUAUAAGACUGGGAUAACUUCGGGAAACCGGAGCUAAUACCGGAUAAUAUUUUGAACCGCGUGGUUCAAAAGUGAAAGACGGUCUUGCUGUCACUUAUAGAUGGAUCCGCGCUGCAUUAGCUAGUUGGUAAGGUAACGGCUUACCAAGGCAACGAUGCAUAGCCGACCUGAGAGGGUGAUCGGCCACACUGGAACUGAGACACGGUCCAGACUCCUACGGGAGGCAGCAGUAGGGAAUCUUCCGCAAUGGGCGAAAGCCUGACGGAGCAACGCCGCGUGAGUGAUGAAGGUCUUCGGAUCGUAAAACUCUGUUAUUAGGGAAGAACAUAUGUGUAAGUAACUGUGCACAUCUUGACGGUACCUAAUCAGAAAGCCACGGCUAACUACGUG
rnacentral:rRNA from 1 species